UUCCACAUCCAUUCCCCGACUACUACAAAGGAUGCUGAUGAUGAUAUACUUCCAUCUGUACUGGAUGCCUUGAAUGAGAUAGCUUUCCACCCAAAAUUCCUUUCCUCUCGAGUAGAAAAGGAACGACGUGCUAUUCUUUCAGAAUUGCAGAUGAUGAAUACAAUAGAAUAUCGUGUAGAUUGCCAGUUAUUACAACAUCUACAUUCUGAAAACAAGCUGAGCAAAAGGUUCCCAAUUGGAUUAGAAGAGCAAAUUAAGAAGUGGGAUGCAGAUAAAAUUAGGAAAUUCCAUGAACGCUGGUACUUCCCUGCG
rnacentral:misc_RNA from 1 species